ACAGCCCCGGCACUGUGACUUCCCUCAGCAAGGGAAGUGACAGACAGAGGGGCCUUGGAUUGCAGGCAGCAGACACAGAGAGUGUUCAUGUGCAUCAUACACAUGCACGAGUAUUCUGUGCAAUACUAUGCCUCUGCAGUUCCCUCAAGCAUUUAAAAAGCAAAUCAAACUCCUUUUUUGUAUGAAAGCUGUAUGGAUAGCUUUGAGAUACUGGUCUUUAAAGGGAAUAGAGAGCAACCAACUGAACUCCUUAGCUUUUCAGAAAUAGCCCCACAGCUGGUUAGAUUAAUUUGUUUCUUUUUGGCAUUCCUUCCCCCAAGGCAGUAAGCACGAUCAGCUGCUAUCCACUGGAAGCACUAUAGAAACAUAUCUAUUAUUAUUAUUAUUGUUGUUGUUAUUAUUAUUAUUAUUAUUAUUAUUUCUCAUCUGUAAAUACUGGCAAUGUGUUACACUGCUGUUUGUCAUACUGAGAGCAGAUGGUUUAUUAUGAGAUUACAUUCUGGACCUCCAGAGAUGCUGCAUCCAAUUUGCCAAUCCCAUCAUUCCCUCAAAUGCUAUGGAUGACUUCAUGAAUACAGGAUGCAGUACUGUCAAUAUACUUACAAUUUUAUUGUGUUCCACAAUGGCUGAACAAUGUUUUAACAUUUCUGUGGAAGCCACGCUACACCUCAAACAGAAGACGUGGGCUUGAUGAAGAAAUGAUUGAAUGUGGAUUUUUGCUUUGUCUAAUACAAAAGCUCAGAGAAGAUUACCAUGACAAUCUUCUUUGGUUCUAAAUGCACAAUCAUGUGAUUUUUUCUGAUUCUAAGAAUUCUAUAAACUUGAGUGUGGAUUUUUAAAUAUAGAUAUGUCUAGCUAUUCCACUUGUAGGCCAAAUGUGGAAAUAAGAACUUCAGUGCCACUGAAGUACCCUAACAUACUUGUGACAUGCUUCCUUCUUCUCAUCAACACACAGAGACAAAAUUAGUUUUGAUGUAACUAUUGUAAAAACUAAAAACCAGAGAGGGAAGGCUCUCACUCAUAGUUCUGCCUGAUUACAUAAUUGUGUAGUAGGUACUAAUUCAAUUUUAGCUAAAUAAUUCAAUAACUGAAAUAUAUAUGUCUGAUUUUACUUAAGAGACUCAGCUGUCAAAAUUGAAAAAAAAAAAUCUUCUGACAAUUAGCAGAGCAGUAACCUUAGGCAGGAUCAAGUCAGUCAGCCUAGUAGAUUUUAGCUCAAAUUUCACAUUCAAUCGGUGGUAGAAGACCAAAUGAGUCUGUAAUUGAUGCUGAGGUCUGUUACUUAGUGAUCCACUAAACAAAGGGAAAAUUACCACCAGGAAUCACAUGUGAUCUGUCAACACUGUCCACCAAAAAGAACAACAAAGCCAUUAGAAAUAUAUCAGUAAAAAAUUAGUAAAGAUGUAGUGGUGGUCAAACCAUGACAGAUAUCUUCCCCACUAAGUAUUUUUACUGAGUAUGACAUGCAUGGCAUAGGUUCCCAAAAGUAUCCCUUAUGAACCAGGAGCAGGAGCUGGACUUCUCCUACCUAAUUUGAAUAGAUUCACACUUUCUGCAUAGACAAUAGCUAGUAAUAGGUAUCUCAGUCUGUCAGGUAUUUGGGCUGAAUUUUGUAGUAAUGUGUUUUUCCUGUAACUUGACUGUAUGAAUCUACUUGCAAGUUCUUAUGGUUCAGAAUCGGAAAUUCUGAAAUCUGAAAUCCUCUGACACUGCUAAGCUUCAUUUUAGGUGGCAUCUAGUGCUUUCAGAGAAGGACUGGAAGAUAACAACAAGUGGCAGAAGCAAGUUUAAACAUCAAAGGCAUAUUGGAGAAAAAGUCAGACGCACUCUCUGUGGAAGGUUCAUGGAAAUUUGAACUGCUGGAGUCACUUGUGACCAAAUGUAUUUGAGGACCAGAGCAAAAUGAAGUGAUACAAGAUUAGACUGAAGGGUACUUGAGAGGUCUCUAUUACUUUGGUUUUGUGCUGGUUUCUUGUUUCUAAUUUUUUCUCAGUCUUCUGGCUUUAGGUUAGGAAACUUAAAUGAGAGAGGGACAACUUGUGUAACUGCAUUCAAGGGGUUCCAAAUUCAAGGUGAAAAAGAUAAACAGUGUAUAAAGAAAUAGGUGUGGUUAAAAAAUUAAAACAAUGAAAAACACAGUUAUGUGUAGAAUAUUAGCCAUAAUUAACUUCAAUGCAGAAGUAAUGAUUUUGACAUUCUUGCGAAACAACCUGAUAUGCUGUGGUUUUAUGUUAUAAUUUUAAAGAUUUUUUUAAUUGAUUGUUUAAACUUGAAAAAUUGUUUUUUCAGUCUUUAUCAAUUUUCCUCAAGACUGAGUUGCUAUUCACAAUGAGGACUUGACAAAAAUUGUAUACAAAACUUGCUAUUUUAUCUAAGAUUGGCAUCCACUUCUCAGGGCCAAAAAGAAAAUGACUUCUCACUUUCAAGGUUGUCAAAAAUGAAGGCCAGGAAGUAAGACACAAGAGGUCAGCCUAUUUAGACAGACAGCAGUGACCUGUCCUGUGUUUGGUAGUACCAUAUUCACAUGGACAACAUACUUCUGAUUAAACUGAAGAAUAUGGUGUUUUAAAAAGCAAUAAUUGGGUGGAUUUGCCAUUGGUUAUAAUGAAAAAGUAACCACAGAAAAAUAUCAUCAUGCAUGGAUCAGUGCUAUAGCUAAAAUGAGAUUUUAUUAAUACUGUGCUUUGCUACCGUGAAUUGACUCCUGGUUUUGAUUGCUUGAAACAGAAGUGGAACACUUUAAGCUGGACUAAUAGCAAUAUAAAUAUUGUACAUAAUUAUGUAAAAUGCAAAUAGCACAGUGCACUUGAUUUCUCAGACAAGAAGUAAGCUGUGUUUCCCACAAUGAGUUUGGCAGUGGGGAAGUACAACUCUACAACAGAGAAGGGGGCAGACAUGAAGUCCCUCUGGUGAAAAUGGCACAGCAGCUACACUGAAAACUCCAGCACAGCUGCUGAGGGAAAUGCCCGGUCAGUGGGUGCCAGUGAUGAGGCAAGCAGGCAGGAUGUGUCCAGAGCACGGGGGUCUCAGCAUGGGGAGCCAUUGACAGGGGAACACUUUCAUGCAGCAGAGAAGCAGGAAAUAGGAUGUUUUGAGGGAAACAGAGGAAGGAAACAGAGGCAGAGAAACAAGUGAAGGGGAAGAAAGGAAGAAAGCAGAUGAGGAAGAGAUGAAAUGAGGAAAUGGUGUUAUUAACUAUUAUAAGAUCUGGUUUUUUCGACAGCUGAAAAAGAUAAAACAUAAUUGUAUCAGAAUCAGAGAAUCAAAAGGACUAAAACUGCAAAAGAAAACGUAUUUUUCUGGAGGGAAGGCAGACAAGAUGCUCCAUUGGGAACAGAUGGCUUUCUGGAAAUCUCCCAACAAGGACUACUCCUGGAAUAGAUUUCAUCUGCAGGCCCCACGCAGAGGUAAUAUAUGAUACCUACAAAUAGAUAGUGCUCC